GCUGAGUGGCGCAGCGGAAGCGCGCCGGGCUCAUAACCCGGAGGGCAAUGGAUCGUAAGCUGGACGCACCUUCAUCCACUAUCCAACA
rnacentral:tRNA from 1 species